CUCUUGAUUAUUAUUCAUACACAGUAAUGUGAAGCAUGCUCAUAUCUAGUAUAACUGGACCAACCUGGUGCUCUUCAUUUAUGGAGGCUGUUGAGUCUGAAUGUUGGAUGUUGUGUAUCUCGUGUUCUCUGGGCUUUGUUGUCCUCAGUCUUUUUGCAGGAUCAGAAAACAAAACCAGGAGGCCUGUAAAUGUUUCUUCUCCAAUUGGAUGAUGAUAAGACUGUGACAUGGGAUGCCACCUUUAGUCUUGUGAUGAAGCAAAGCUCAGGAAGAAGUGUGAUUAAAUGGUACCCACAUGUGUGCUGCUGAGAAGGAUGUACAGGGGCACCUGCAGCCAAAUCCAAGCCUCCUCAGAUGGUGAUGGUGUGGAGAGACGGUGGUGUUUCCUCAGAAGAACUAGCAGAGUCACCAAGGGCACGAGUCCAUCUCACCACCUUGACUUGCUGACUGAUGCUCGUCUGCACUGCACAGAGGAAAUCAACUGACCGAGCAGGAAUGGAGAAAUGGAAUCAAAGGGAGAAGUUUUUGAUGUUUUUGUAAUGAUGUAAGUAAAUCUCCAGUUUCUGAGUGAGGGAGAGAGGAGUCAUCAUCCAGGUAAAGUGACGUGGAUCAGUGGAUACACUUGUCUUCGCUUUCAAAGGCGAUACUCUUAGAGAGAGACGAUCCGAGUCAUCCUUAAAUAUGGGCAGGAUAUCAGUCUUGGACUGUGUAACCUGCAGGAGCAGCAUUGAAUGACCACCACACAUGAGCAUGUUCCUGCAACAUUCAGCAGCUUUGCUUUUGUGUCAAAUGUCCAACAGCUGGAGAGGAGACUAAACCAGUGUACUGGGAUGUUUCAUCAACACAUGCCAGACGCUGUUCCUUCAUGGUUUCAUCACCAGAGACAGCCCCGCCCACCUCAGGA